rnacentral:tRNA from 1 species
UUCCUUAUGUCUCAGUCGGUAAAGAAUCUGCCUGAAAUGCAGGAGACCUGGGUUCGAUCCCUGGCUUGGGAA